rnacentral:rRNA from 1 species
GACGAACGCUGGCGGCGUGCCUAAUACAUGCAAGUUGAGCGCUGAAGGUUGGUACUUGUACCAACUGGAUGAGCAGCGAACGGGUGAGUAACGCGUGGGGAAUCUGCCUUUGAGCGGGGGACAACAUUUGGAAACGAAUGCUAAUACCGCAUAAAAACUUUAAACACAAGUUUUAAGUUUGAAAGAUGCAAUUGCAUCACUCAAAGAUGAUCCCGCGUUGUAUUAGCUAGUUGGUGAGGUAAAGGCUCACCAAGGCGAUGAUACAUAGCCGACCUGAGAGGGUGAUCGGCCACAUUGGGACUGAGACACGGCCCAUACUCCUACGGGAGGCAGCAGUAGGGAAUCUUCGGCAAUGGACGAAAGUCUGACCGAGCAACGCCGCGUGAGUGAAGAAGGUUUUCGGAUCGUAAAACUCUGUUGGUAGAGAAGAACGUUGGUGAGAGUGGAAAGCUCAUCAAGUGACGGUAACUACCCAGAAAGGGACGGCUAACUACGUG